rnacentral:tRNA from 1 species
CCCACUGUAGCUCAGUCGGAUAGAGCGCUUCCAUGCCAAGGAAGGGGUCCCGGGUUCGAAUCCCGGCCGUGAUU